GAAGAUGAGCCCCGGGCUAGUGUCAGUCAUGGUCUUCCCAGCACACACCUGUCACCAGGUAAGAUUACUAGUUCCGACUAAAAUAGCUACUUUGAAAUGCCAGCUCUUUGUGGUCCUGCACCUUGGUAUUCAGUGUCUGAUCUUGGUCUACUCGUGUCUAUCAUGCUUUCUGAGUUCCUCAUAUUGAGGAAUUCCCUCUGACUCCCUUCAGGUUGAACGUUACGGUCCCCAGCACCAUAGCCAGAAGCACCCUUGUGAUUAUGCCGCUGCUUGUGGUGUAAGCCCCGAGGACCCAGCGUUCUGGCCAGACACGUGACUUCACACAGCCAACCUUCAAGGUAAGGGGUCCUCAGGUCUUGUGGGUAAUGGUUCAGCUUACUGUUUGCUCUGGAGUGUGCCCUGUGCGUGGUCUCUGAUGAAGUGUGAAUCAAGCUAGCUUAGGUUGUGACCCCAUCUUCUUUCCAGAACAGUGUGCCUCAGCUGCCCUAACCACAGGCCCACGAUCUCGCUGGGGUUUCCAGAACGGUGUGCAUUCAUUCGGCUAUACAAACCGCAGGCCCGAGAUCCUGCAGGGCUUCCUCACGCCAUGCUUCUCCUUCUGCUUGCGCCACAGAUAUUUGCUGACUCCAUGUUCUGUGAAGAACCAGAGCCAGGCAAUACACAGAAGAUCUGCCAGCCCUGCAGCAGUUAUGGGUAACCUUGUUGCCCUGAAGUCUUGCUCUGUGCCUGUGAGACUCUAGGGCUGUUUAGCACACAUUGUCCUCACUGUCUGU
rnacentral:lncRNA from 1 species